rnacentral:rRNA from 1 species
UACAGAGGUCUCAAGCGUUGUUCGGAUUCAUUGGGCGUAAAGGGUGUGUAGGUGGCGCGCUAAGUCGGGUGUGAAAUUUCGGAGCUUAACUCCGAAACUGCAUUCGAUACUGGCGUGCUUGAGGACUGGAGAGGAGACUGGAAUUUACGGUGUAGCAGUGAAAUGCGUAGAUAUCAGGAGGAACACCGGUGGCGAAGGCGGUUCUCUGGGCAUUACCUGACGCUGAGGAGCGAAAGUGUGGGGAGCGAACAGG